UACGUAGGGUGCGAGCGUUAAUCGGAAUUACUGGGCGUAAAGCGUGCGCAGGCGGUUUUGUAAGCCAGGUGUGAAAUCCCCGGGCUCAACCUGGGAAUGGCAUUUGGGACUGCAAGGCUGGAGUGCGGCAGAGGAGACUGGAAUUCCUGGUGUAGCAGUGAAAUGCGUAGAUAUCGGGAGGAAUACCGAUGGCGAAGGCAGGUCUCUGGGCUGACACUGACGCUCAUGCACGAAAGCGUGGGGAGCAAACAGG
rnacentral:rRNA from 1 species